AAACUUCGGCGACGUUUGUUUGAU
rnacentral:snRNA from 1 species